GAAAUGCGAUAAGUAGUGUGAAUUGCAGAAUUCAGUGAAUCAUCGAAUCUUUGAACGCACAUUGCGCCCCUCGGUAUUCCGUGGGGCAUGCCUGUUCGAGCGUCAUCUACACCCUCAAGCUCUGCUUGGUGUUGGGCGUCUGUCCCGCCUCCUUCGCGCGCGGACUCGCCCCAAAUCCAUUGGCGGCGGCCCUUGCCUCCCUCUCGCGCAGCACAUUGCGCUUCUCGAGGCGCGGCGGACCGCGUCCAGCAAGCAACCGUCACACCGUCUUUGACCUCGGAUCAGGUAGGGAUACCCGCUUAACUUAAGC
rnacentral:misc_RNA from 1 species